GGAGAGGUACCCAAGAGGCCGAAGGGGGAAGUUUGCUAAACUUCUAGUGGGGCGAAAGCCCCAGCGCGGGUUCGAAUCCCGCCCUCUCCGCCA
rnacentral:tRNA from 1 species